rnacentral:rRNA from 1 species
GGACCAAGGAGUCUAGCAUGUGCGCGAGUCAUUGGGACUCUGUACGAAACCUAAAGGCGCAAUGAAAGUAAAGGCCCGCCUCGCGCGGACCGAGGGAGGACGGGCCCGUCUACGGGCGGACCCCGCACUCCCGGGGCGCCUCGUUCUCAUCGCGAGAAGAGGCGCACCCAGAGCGUACACGCUGGGACCCGAAAGAUGGUGAACUAUGCCUGGUCAGGACGAAGUCAGGGGAAACCCUGAUGGAGGUCCGUAGCGAUUCUGACGUGCAAAUCGAUCGUCGGAACUGGGUAUAGGGGCGAAAGACUAAUCGAACCUUCUAGUAGCUGGUUCCCUCCGAAGUUUCCCUCAGGAUAGCUGGCGCUCGCCUUUGCGAGUCUCAUUCGGUAAAGCGAAUGAUUAGAGGCAUUGGGGUCGAAACGGCCUCAACCUAUUCUCAAACUUUAAAUGGGUGAGAUCUCCGGCUUGCUUGAAGCGUGAAGCCGCGAGAGAUCGGAUCACAGAGUGCCAAGUGGGCCACUUUUGGUAAGCAGAACUGGCGCUGUGGGAUGAACCAAACGCCGAGUUAAAGCGCCCAAAUCGACGCUUAUGGGAUACCAUGAAAGGCGUUGGUAACUUAAGACAGCAGGACGGUGGCCAUGGAAGUCGGA